GUGAUGCCCUUAGAUGUUCUGGGCUGCACGCGCACGACAAUGGUGCUGACGGCACGCCUGACCAGUUCACCUCGUGUGUCUGGUCGCCUGUGUCGACAGGCAAUGGGAACCCUUCCAACUGGCGCCGUGAUUGGAAUAGAUGUUUGCAACUGUUUGUCUUGAACGAGGAAUGCCUAGUAUGCGCAGCUCAUCANACUGCACAGAUUGAGUCCCUGCCCUUUGUACACACCGCA
rnacentral:rRNA from 1 species